rnacentral:lncRNA from 1 species
AAGGAAACUCGCUCCCUUUUCCACCCUCCCUGAGGCCUCCUGCCCACCAGCCUGCAGACAGCUUGGCGUGGAAAUCUCCACGGGUAGGGACUCGCUGACCCUCCUUCCCUUCUGUAUCUGUAGUGUGUGGGAGGUUCUUGUCACACCCUGUGAAAUAGAUUUUGUUGUUUCAUAUUCUAUGUAAGAAGAAUUCGAGGCUUCAGAGACGUUAAGGGACUUGCUCAGGGUCAUGUAGCCAGUCGGUAGCAGAGGCAGGAUUUAUAGUCCCUGCUUGCUAGGAGAGUGCUGGAUUCAAACCUCCGCCACCUGUGAGGCUAGGGUAGAGCCAGGAUUUGGGAACCUUGCCCUUCCGCGUUGUCCCUCCCCCUCGGCCCUCGGCCCGCCCUCGGGGGGGGGGGCGCGGGCGGGGAAGCCGGAUCCUAGCAUCACUCGGGGGCUAAGUGCAGCACCUAACCGGGCACCCGUAAUCCUGAGGCCUGCUCGCUAGCGACCUCCGGAGGGCUGGGCCGGUUUGGGGUGCGGUGUGGCGAGGGGACCCACCCCGUCUUCCCGACUAUUUGCAUAACGGAGACGGCUCGUUUCCCCCGCCCCUUCGCCGCACUCUUCUUCCCUCCUUCCCGCGUCCGCGCCACCCCUCAUCCCCUGUCCCCCCGCUCCUCCCCAAAGACCCUCCUUCAGGUACUGUUGCGUUGGGGGUCCCAGCUCCCGGGCUCUCUGGCCGCCACCGGGCGAGGAGUCCGGAGGCAUCCGGGGGAGGGGAGUCCCGCGCAGGGCCGGGCUGGAGAAAACGCCUGGGGCACUGCCCCGCGCUAACAAAGGGAACCCGCUGCCUGCCGGCUGGGGCGUGGAGCUGGCUGAGCUGCCGCAGCUUCGGCGGCCGAGAGCGCAGCGAGCAGAGUAGAGUGAACUGUGUAGAGAUCUGCAAAGAGCAGCUUAGAGAGAAGCAGUGA